rnacentral:rRNA from 1 species
AGAGUUUGAUCCUGGCUCAGGAUGAACGCUGGCGGCAUGCCUAACACAUGCAAGUCGAACGGACCUUUAUUUUUGAGAGUUCCUUUAUAGAAAUUCUCAAAAUACUGGUUAGUGGCGGACGGGUGAGUAACACGUUGGUACCUACCCUCUAGUGGGGAAUAACUUCGAGAAAUCGAGGCUAAUACCGCAUGUGGUCUACGGAUCAAAGCAGUAAUGCGCUAGAGGAGGGGCCUGCGUCUGAUUAGCUUGUUGGUGAGGUAAAAGCUCACCAAGGCGACGAUCAGUAGCUGGAUCGAGAGGUUGACCAGCCACACUGGGACUGAGAUACGGCCCAGACUCCUACGGGAGGCAGCAGUGAGGAAUCUUCCACAAUGGACGAAAGUCUGAUGGAGCAAUGCCGCGUGCAGGAUGACGGCCUUCGGGUUGUAAACUGCUUUUAUAUGGGAAGAUUAUGACGGUACCAUAUGAAUAAGGACCGGCUAACUACGUG